rnacentral:tRNA from 2 species
AGGAGCGUAGCUCAAUUGGUAGAGUACCGGUCUCCAAAACCGGGUGUUGUGGGUUCGAGUCCCUCCGCUCCUGCCA